rnacentral:rRNA from 1 species
CCCGCUCAGAAACUCAAAGGAAUUGACGGGGCCCGCACAAGCGGAGGAGCAUGUGGUUUAAUUCGAUGAUACGCGAGGAACCUUACCUGGGCUCGAACGUAAGAUGACUGUAGGUGAAAGCUUACAUCUCUUCGGAGCAUUUUACGAGGUGCUGCAUGGUUGUCGUCAGCUCGUGCCGUGAGGUGUCGGGUUAAGUCCCAUAACGAGCGCAACCCUACCUUUAGUUGCCAUCAGGUAAUGCUGGGGACUCUAAAGGAACUGCCUACGCAAGUAGUGAGGAAGGCGGGGAUGACGUCAAAUCAGCACGGCCCUUACGUCCAGGGCUACACACGUGCUACAAUGGCCGAUACAGAGGGCAGCUACCUGGUGACAGGAUGCAAAUCUCCAAAGUCGGUCUCAGUUCGGAUCGGAGUCUGCAACCCGACUCCGUGAAGUUGGAUUCGCUAGUAAUCGCGCAUCAGCCAUGGCGCGGUGAAUACGUUCCCGGGCCUU